UGAGCGCUGCGCCGAAACUCCCUCUCGGUCCCGGGGACCGUUCCCGGCACGCCGCCGCCGGCCGUCGGGCUCCGGGGCCCGGAGCGCGGGGGCCCGGGCAGCAGCCGAGUGCCCCCUCUCGGCGCGCGCCGCCGGGGACGCGCGGCCGGGCCACCCACCUGGUCGCGCCGAGCCGUCCGGCAGCGGGGCCGGCGUUCGCUCCCGGCCCGGGCUCCUGGCGGCGGCGGCGGCGGCGGCGGCGGCGGCAGCGGCUGUUACUACAGGAAGGCGCAGAGAGCAGCGAUUUCCUCCUCAAAGGGACCUCGAAGGCCGUCAGAGCCAGGUGCAUCCCCUUUCAUCAGUCCAGAAAAGGGUCCUGUCCACAGCAGUUUGGCCAGUAAGCGUACAGCUGGCACCAGGAUCCAAGUUGCCUGGCUCUGUGGGCAAGGUCUCCAGUCCACCUGUCUCAACUUUCCUUCCCUGGAGCAUACACCGCAGUCUGCACUCUAGCCCAUGGUUGUUUCACGGCACCAAGCAUGGCUCCUCUAUCACCACACCGGUCCUUGCCCCAGCUCUGUUGAAGGAGCCAGUGUGACUUACGUGUCACCUGGAGGUGGACUCAAGUUAUACCGGAAGAAUUAUCCCAUUCCAAUUCCUGUUUCUGGCUCUUGUAGACCAGGUUAGCCAUGAAGGAGGCCCUGCUGAUGCCCCUACCUUGGGGAGAACAGAUUGAGGUCACCUUGACAUAACUGUCCCUGGGGGCAGGGGGAGAUGGUACAGAGAUGGCUUUGUCUCCUCUGCUCCAAGUCCCUUCUUCAAGGAGAGUUCCUGUUGCGCCGGAGCCAGCGGGGAGGUGGGGGGUGAAGAGCCUUCCCAAGAAAGCUGGAGGUGUUCCGGGAAGCAUCUCCAUGCCCCGGCAGAGAGGGGACAGCUGAAGCCCGUGGGCAGUUAAGCAUCCUGCUUCACCCCCACACUUUCUCUGCAUGUACCGACCCCCCAGCCCCUACCCCUAAGGCUCCUGGAAGGGAGACCCCAAGCCAUGCUCAGCAUAUACUGUACCCUGCGAGCAGCAUGGCUGCCUCUCCCGGAAUCUCCUCUUUCUGGUGCCUCCCUGGGCACUUGCUGCCCAUUCCUGUCCCUGAAGACAGAGCCGAGGGAGGGUGUGCGCUGAGGAAUUCUAUGUGAAUUGGAGGGAAGGAAAGGAGCCGCUGGGUCCCUUCCUGCCCUGUCCCCUGUCCUCCGCCUCUCUUCAGGGAAGUCAACUUACAGUGAAGUCGCCAAGAGAACACGAGGCCUUCCAGCCUGAGGCACA